ACGUUAAUAUCUUCAUUAAAAACAAGGGCACAAAUUGCCUAAACAUCAGACUGUUACCAUGGAUAUUCAGUCUGAAAGAAGUUGCCCUAAAAAGAGUAUCUACAGGCCAGAAUGUUGAAUAAAAUGACAUUAACACCAAAGAUGUUCUAAUUGUUCUGUGUUAACACUUUACCGUGUUGGUGCAUUUGACUGUAGGAAGUGAAGGUAAAAUAUCCACAGGAAAGUAUUGUUUACCCGAAUUUUUGCUGUGGCGGUAGGGUCUGUCACUUGUAUUUUCAAUCCGCUGAUGCAUUGCAUGUGAUGCACAAUAUGUAACCAAUAGCUGAAUUUAACCUUGAAAGUUGUUGACCAAAGCAAGUUCCCUCACAAACAGAUGGAAGUGCUUGUGAAACUUGCCAGCUGAUUGCGUGGGACAAAGUUCGGUCUGUGGCUGUGGUUAAGCUCCGACAUUGUUUACAUAUUGUGCAAGUGUUUGUUGUGUACGAAUUGCAUCAGUAUUAAAAAUACAAAAUCGGAAAUAAAAAACGAUAUACAGACCAGCUUACUGAAAGUAGGGUUAAUAACACUUCCCUGUGUAUAUUCUGUCUAAGAUUGCCCAUGACAUAAGGACAAAAUCAGUGGACAACAGGGGAGAGACUAGACUCUCACUCUGAAAGCGAGAAGAGUCCUUCAGGUGAACCAGACCCAGAGACGUCCAAACCAGCAGGGCGACACCACUGCUCCCAGUGUGGAAAGAGUUUUACUCAGUUAGGGAGCUUGAAAACACAUGAGAGAAUACACACAGGAGAAAAGCCCUACCACUGCUCCCAGUGUGAAAAGAGUUUUAGGUGGUUAGGGAGUCUGAAAAAGCAUGAGAAGACACACACACGAGAAAAGCCAUACCAAUGUUCCCUGUGUGGUCAGAGUUUUACCCAGUUAGGGGCCCUGAAUAAGCAUGACAGGACACACACGGGACGUGAUAAGACCUACCACUGCUCCCUGUGUGGAACGAUAUUUAACCGGUUAAGGCAUCUGAAUAAGCAUGAAAGAAUACAUACACAGGAGGAGAAGACAUACCACUGCUCUUAUUGUGGAAAGACAUUUUCCCAGUCAGAGGACCUGGAAUCACAUGAGAGAAUAGAGAGGCUGUGUUCUGACUUAUGUUUUUGACUGGGAAUUUGUGUUUUUGUUUAUGCCACAUGAAAUCAUAUUGUGUAAAUUAAUUCUUACUCAAAAAUAGGCCUUCUUUGGUUGUUGUUUUUUCAUCUCGAGACAUAAUCAUGUCUAAAAUCAGAUUAAAUAUUUAAAAGUUUAUUUCAUUUUGAUUAUGACAUUUCAUUUGAUUGGAUACAAGUAAGUAUAAACCCUCCAAUGUUGUUCAUUAUGUUAUUUGGAUAUUGCAAAAUGUAAAUGAUUAUAUAAGUCACUAAGUAAGUAGCCUUUCAUGAUCCUUGGCUUGUCUGAGCCAGAAUUAAUCUCAUAUUUCUGUAGCUUGAGGCAGUUUGAUGUACAAGUACAUGUCUUGUCAAUUAGUAUUCAACCCCUUUGUUAUGGCAAGCCUAAAUAAGUUCAGGA